UACGUAGGGGGCAAGCGUUAUCCGGAUUCACUGGGUGUAAAGGGAGCGUAGACGGCCAUGCAAGCCUGGAGUGAAAGCCCGGGGCCCAACCCCGGACUGCUCUGGAAACUAUGUUACUAGAGUGCAGGAGAGGUAAGCGGAAUUCCUAGUGUAGCGGUGAAAUGCGUAGAUAUUAGGAGGAACACCAGUGGCGAAGGCGGCUUACUGGACUGUAACUGACGUUGAGGCUCGAAAGCGUGGGGAGCAAACAGG
rnacentral:rRNA from 1 species